UACGGAGGGUGCAAGCGUUAUCCGGAUUCACUGGGUUUAAAGGGUGCGUAGGUGGGCAGGUAAGUCAGUGGUGAAAUCCCCGAGCUUAACUUGGGAACUGCCAUUGAUACUAUUUGUCUUGAAUGUCGUGGAGGUUAGCGGAAUAUGUCAUGUAGCGGUGAAAUGCUUAGAUAUGACAUAGAACACCUAUUGCGAAGGCAGCUAACUACGCGAAUAUUGACGCUUAGGCACGAAAGCGUGGGGAUCAAACAGG
rnacentral:rRNA from 1 species